GAUGAAGAACGCAGCGAAAUGCGAUAAGUAAUGUGAAUUGCAGAAUUCAGUGAAUCAUCGAAUCUUUGAACGCACAUUGCGCCCGCCAGUAUUCUGGCGGGCAUGCCUGUUCGAGCGUCAUUACAACCCUCAGGCCCCCGGGCCUGGCGUUGGGGAUCGGCGGAAGCCCCCUGCGGGCACAACGCCGUCCCCCAAAUACAGUGGCGGUCCCGCCGCAGCUUCCAUUGCGUAGUAGCUAACACCUCGCAACUGGAGAGCGGCGCGGCCACGCCGUAAAACACCCAACUUCUGAAUGUUGACCUCGAACCAGGUAGGAAUACCCGCUGAACUUAAGCAUAUCAAUAAGCGGAGGA
rnacentral:misc_RNA from 1 species